rnacentral:rRNA from 1 species
GGGGAAUUUUGGCCAAUGGGGGAAACCCUGAUCCAGCCAUUCCGCGUGUGCGAUGAAGGCCUUCGGGUUGUAAAGCACUUUUGGCAGGAAAGAAAUCGCACAAAUUAAUACUUUGUGUGGAUGACGGUACCUGCAGAAUAAGCACCGGCUAACUACGUGCCAGCAGCCGCGGUAAUACGUAGGGUGCAAGCGUUAAUCGGAAUUACUGGGCGUAAAGCGUGCGCAGGCGGUUCGGAAAGAGAGGUGUGAAAUCCCAGGGCUUAACCUUGGAACUGCACUUUUAACUCCCGAGCUAGAGUAUGUCAGAGGGGGGUGGAAUUCCGCGUGUAGCAGUGAAAUGCGUAGAUAUGCGGAGGAACACCGAUGGCGAAGGCAGCCCCCUGGGAUAAUACUGACGCUCAUGCACGAAAGCGUGGGGAGCAAACAGGAUUAGAUACCCUGGUAGUCCACGCCCUAAACGAUGUCAACUAGCUGUUGGGGGCUUCGGCCCUUAGUAGCGCAGCUAACGCGUGAAGUUGACCGCCUGGGGAGUACGGUCGCAAGAUUAAAACUCAAAUGAAUUUGGACGGG